rnacentral:rRNA from 1 species
CCACGGGGGGCAGCAGUGGGGAAUAUUGGACAAUGGGCGAAAGCCUGAUCCAGCCAUGCCGCGUGUGUGAAGAAGGCCUUCGGGUUGUAAAGCACUUUCAGUGGGGAAGAAAGCCUUGGGGCUAAUACCCUCGAGGAAGGACAUCACCCACAGAAGAAGCACCGGCUAACUCCGUGCCAGCAGCCGCGGUAAUACGGAGGGUGCGAGCGUUAAUCGGAAUUACUGGGCGUAAAGCGCGCGUAGGCGGUCUGAUAAGCCGGUUGUGAAAGCCCCGGGCUCAACCUGGGAACGGCAUCCGGACCUGUCAGGCUAGAGUGCAGGAGAGGAAGGUAGAAUUCCCGGUGUAGCGGUGAAAUGCGUAGAGAUCGGGAGGAAUACCAGUGGCGAAGGCGGCCUUCUGGACUGACACUGACGCUGAGGUGCGAAAGCGUGGGUAGCAAACAGGAUUAGAUACCCUAGUAGUC